rnacentral:rRNA from 1 species
GACGAACGCUGGCGGCGUGCUUAACACAUGCAAGUCGAACGGAAAGGCCCUGCUUUUGUGGGGUGCUCGAGUGGCGAACGGGUGAGUAACACGUGAGUAACCUGCCCUUGACUUUGGGAUAACUUCAGGAAACUGGGGCUAAUACCGGAUAGGAGCUCCUGCUGCAUGGUGGGGGUUGGAAAGUUUCGGCGGUUGGGGAUGGACUCGCGGCUUAUCAGCUUGUUGGUGGGGUAGUGGCUUACCAAGGAUUUGACGGGUAGCCGGCCUGAGAGGGGGACCGGCCACAUUGGGCCUGAGAUACGGACCAGACUCCUACGGGAGGCAGCAGUGGGGAAUAUUGCACAAUGGGCGGAAGCCUGAUGCAGCAACGCCGCGUGCGGGAUGACGGCCUUCGGGUUGUAAACCGCUUUCGCCUGUGACGAAGCGUGAGUGACGGUAAUGGGUAAAGAAGCACCGGCUAACUACGUG